GUCAGGAUAGCCUAGUGGUUAAAGGCGCUGCGUUAAGGACCCAGAGGUGUGGGUUUGAAUCCCACUCCUGACA